rnacentral:rRNA from 1 species
UACGUAGGGUGCGAGCGUUAUCCGGAAUUAUUGGGCGUAAAGAGCUCGUAGGCGGUUUGUCGCGUCUGUCGUGAAAGUCCGGGGCUUAACCCCGGAUCUGCGGUGGGUACGGGCAGACUAGAGUGCAGUAGGGGAGACUGGAAUUCCUGGUGUAGCGGUGGAAUGCGCAGAUAUCAGGAGGAACACCGAUGGCGAAGGCAGGUCUCUGGGCUGUAACUGACGCUGAGGAG